rnacentral:RNase_P_RNA from 1 species
CGGGUAAAGCAGACGGCCGCGUCCCGGUAAAAACGGGAUGAGGAAAGUCCGAACACCGUUUGGAGCAGCAAUGUUCCUUUCACGGAGAGCCGCUAACGGCGGCCGGGAUAUAGCAACGCGAACGAAAGGACACGUGCCGGACGUCCCGUUGUAAACCCAGGGAAAGUCCCGGUGAAAACCGGGAUCGACGCAUCGUAAAAAAUGCGCCGAUGCCACAGAGACCAUACUACCCGGUCUGCAUGCAGACCGGGGAAACGUGAAAAGUGAUGCGGUGCGGUUGUCCGUCGAAAGACGCGCAACUGCUACGUAUUUCCCGCGGCGGCAACGCCGCGAGGCGGUAAACCCUCUCCGGUGCAAGAGCAAGAGUCUGUUUUUCGAUCGCGAACAGUGGUCGGAAAAGAGACGACUGGUAGCUCGCAACGAGGUGCCGAGCAAUCGGCAUCCCAGAUAGAUGGCCGUCACUUCUUCAUCAUCGGGUUUGGGGGACUUGUCCCCCGAAAUCCGCAUGGCAAAGAAGGACAGAAUUCGGCUUAUCGCUUCAUCCGCGCA